AAUGGGCGCAAGCCUGAUCUAGCCAUGCCGCGUGAGUGAUGAAGGCCUUAGGGUCGUAAAGCUCUUUCGCCUGUGAAGAUAAUGACUGUAGCAGGUAAAGAAACCCCGGCUAACUCCGUGCCAGCAGCCGCGGUAAUACGGAGGGGGUUAGCGUUGUUCGGAAUUACUGGGCGUAAAGCGCGCGUAGGCGGACAUUUAAGUCAGAGGUGAAAUCCCAGGACUCAACCCUGGAACUGCCUUUGAUACUGGGUGUCUUGAGUUCGAGAGAGGUGAGUGGAAUUCCGAGUGUAGAGGUGAAAUUCGUAGAUAUUCGGAGGAACACCAGUGGCGAAGGCGGCUCACUGGCUCGAUACUGACGCUGAGGUGCGAAAGUGUGGGGAGCAAACAGGAUU
rnacentral:rRNA from 1 species